AUGGCUCAGGAUGAACGCUAGCUACAGGCUUAACACAUGCAAGUCGAGGGGCAGCAUUUUAGUUUGCUUGCAAACUAAAGAUGGCGACCGGCGCACGGGUGAGUAACACGUAUCCAACCUGCCGAUAACUCGGGGAUAGCCUUUCGAAAGAAAGAUUAAUAUCCGAUAGUAUAUUAAAACCGCAUGGUUUUACUAUUAAAGAAUUUCGGUUAUCGAUGGGGAUGCGUUCCAUUAGUUUGUUGGCGGGGUAACGGCCCACCAAGACUACGAUGGAUAGGGGUUCUGAGAGGAAGGUCCCCCACAUUGGAACUGAGACACGGUCCAAACUCCUACGGGAGGCAGCAGUGAGGAAUAUUGGUCAAUGGACGAGAGUCUGAACCAGCCAAGUAGCGUGAAGGAUGACUGCCCUAUGGGUUGUAAACUUCUUUUAUAUGGGAAUAAAGUAUUCCACGUGUGGGAUUUUGUAUGUACCAUAUGAAUAAGGAUCGGCUAACUCCGUGCCAGCAGCCGCGGUAAUACGGAGGAUCCGAGCGUUAUCCGGAUUUAUUGGGUUUAAAGGGAGCGUAGGUGGAUUGUUAAGUCAGUUGUGAAAGUUUGCGGCUCAACCGUAAAAUUGCAGUUGAAACUGGCAGUCUUGAGUACAGUAGAGGUGGGCGGAAUUCGUGGUGUAGCGGUGAAAUGCUUAGAUAUCACGAAGAACUCCGAUUGCGAAGGCAGCUCACUAGACUGCAACUGACACUGAUGCUCGAAAGUGUGGGUAUCAAACAGGAUUAGAUACCCUGGUAGUCCACACAGUAAACGAUGAAUACUCGCUGUUUGCGAUAUACAGUAAGCGGCCAAGCGAAAGCAUUAAGUAUUCCACCUGGGGAGUACGCCGGCAACGGUGAAACUCAAAGGAAUUGACGGGGGCCCGCACAAGCGGAGGAACAUGUGGUUUAAUUCGAUGAUACGCGAGGAACCUUACCCGGGCUUAAAUUGCAUUUGAAUAAUCUGGAAACAGGUUAGCCGCAAGGCAAAUGUGAAGGUGCUGCAUGGUUGUCGUCAGCUCGUGCCGUGAGGUGUCGGCUUAAGUGCCAUAACGAGCGCAACCCUUAUCUUUAGUUACUAACAGGUCAUGCUGAGGACUCUAGAGAGACUGCCGUCGUAAGAUGUGAGGAAGGUGGGGAUGACGUCAAAUCAGCACGGCCCUUACGUCCGGGGCUACACACGUGUUACAAUGGGGGGUACAGAAGGCAGCUACCUGGCGACAGGAUGCUAAUCCCAAAAACCUCUCUCAGUUCGGAUCGAAGUCUGCAACCCGACUUCGUGAAGCUGGAUUCGCUAGUAAUCGCGCAUCAGCCAUGGCGCGGUGAAUACGUUCCCGGGCCUUGUACACACCGCCCGUCAAGCCAUGAAAGCCGGGGGUACCUGAAGUACGUAACCGCAAGGAGCGUCCUAGGGUAAAACUGGUG
rnacentral:rRNA from 1 species